rnacentral:rRNA from 1 species
GGCCGCCAAAGGACCUUCAAACUCCAGUCAGUAAACGCAGACGUCUGAUAAACAAGUUAAUAAACUAAAACUUUCAACAACGGAUCUCUUGGUUCUGGCAUCGAUGAAGAACGCAGCGAAAUGCGAUAAGUAAUGUGAAUUGCAGAAUUCAGUGAAUCAUCGAAUCUUUGAACGCACAUUGCGCCCCUUGGUAUUCCGGGGGGCAUGCCUGUUCGAGCGUCAUUAGAACCCUCAAGCUCUGCUUGGAAUUGGGCACCGUCCUCACUGCGGACGCGCCUCAAAGACCUCGGCGGUGGCUGUUCAGCCCUCAAGCGUAGUAGAAUACACCUCGCUUGGAGCGGUUGGCGUCGCCCGCCGGACGAACCUUCUGAACUUUCUCAAGGUGACCUCGAUCA